rnacentral:tRNA from 1 species
GGGCGAUUGGCUCAGUGGUAGAGCAUCUCGUUUACACCGAGGGGGUCGGCGGUUCAAACCCGUCAUCGCCCACCA